rnacentral:rRNA from 1 species
AUUGAACGCUGGCGGCAAGCCUAACACAUGCAAGUCGAACGAGUGGCGGACGGGUGAGUAAUGUCUGGGAAACUGCCUGAUGGAGGGGGAUAACUACUGGAAACGGUAGCUAAUACCGCAUACCAUCGGAUGUGCCCAGAUGGGAUUAGCUAGUAGGUGGGGUAAAGGCUCACCUAGGCGACGCUCCCUAGCUGGUCUGAGAGGAUGACCGGCCACACGGAGACUGGGACACGGGCCGAACUACUACGGGAGUCGGCCGUGGGGAAUAUUGCACAAUGUGCGCAAGCGUUAUGCAGUCAUGCCGCGGGUAUGAAGAAGGCCUUCGGGUUGUAAAGUACUUUCAGCGGGGAGGCGUUACCCGCAGAAGAAGCCCCGGCUAACUCCGUGCCAGCCGCCGCGGUAAUAC